AGUCAAGUAAUUAAGUGCAUGUGGUGGAUGCCUUGGCAGUCAGAGGCGAUGAAAGACGUGAUAGCCUGCGAAAAGCUCCGGGGAGGCGGCAAAUAUCCUUUGAUCCGGAGAUGUCUGAAUGGGGGAACCCACCUACUUUAAGGUAGGUAUUGCAACAUGAAUACAUAGUGUUGCAAGGCGAACGAGGGGAAGUGAAACAUCUCAGUACCCUUAGGAAAAGAAAUCAAUUGAGAUUCCCUCAGUAGCGGCGAGCGAACGGGGAUCAGCCCAUUAAGUUAUGUGUGUUUUAGUGGAACGCUCUGGGAAGUGCGAACGUAGAGGGUGAUAUUCCCGUACACGAAAGGGCACACAUAAUGAUGACGAGUAGGGCGAGGCACGUGAAACCUUGUCUGAAUAUGGGGGGACCAUCCUCCAAGGCUAAAUACUCCUGACUGACCGAUAGUGAACCAGUACCGUGAGGGAAAGGCGAAAAGAACCCCUGUGAGGGGAGUGAAAUAGAUCCUGAAACCGCAUGCAUACAAGCAGUGGGAGCACCUUCGUGGUGUGACUGCGUACCUUUUGUAUAAUGGGUCAGCGACUUAUAUUCAGUAGCGAGGUUAACCGUAUAGGGGAGCCGUAGAGAAAUCGAGUCUUAAUAGGGCGUUUAGUUGCUGGGUAUAGACCCGAAACCAGGCGAUCUAUCCAUGAGCAGGUUGAAGGUUGGGUAACACUAACUGGAGGACCGAACCCACUGUCGUUGAAAAGCCAGGGGAUGACUUGUGGAUAGGGGUGAAAGGCUAAUCAAGCCUGGUGAUAGCUGGUUCUCCCCGAAAGCUAUUUAGGUAGCGCCUCGGACGAAUACCAUAGGGGGUAGAGCACUGUUUCGGCUAGGGGGUCAUCCCGACUUACCAAACCGAUGCAAACUCCGAAUACCUAUGAGUACUAUCCGGGAGACAGACUGCGGGUGCUAACGUCCGUAGUCAAGAGGAAAACAAUCCAGACCGCCAGCUAAGGCCCCAAAAUCAUAGUUAAGUGGGAAACGAUGUGGGAAGGCAUAGACAGCUAGGAGGUUGGCUUAGAAGCAGCCACCCUUUAAAGAAAGCGUAAUAGCUCACUAGUCGAGUCGGCCUGCGCGGAAGAUGUAACGGGGCUAAAACUAUGUGCCGAAGCUGCGGAUGUAUACUUUGUAUACGUGGUAGGGGAGCGUUCUGUAAGCCGAUGAAGGUGUGUUGAGAAGCAUGCUGGAGGUAUCAGAAGUGCGAAUGCUGACGUGAGUAACGACAAAACGGGUGAAAAACCCGUUCGCCGAAAGACCAAGGGUUCCAGUCCAACGUUAAUCGGGGCUGGGUGAGUCGACCCCUAAGGCGAGGCCGAAAGGCGUAGUCGAUGGGAAAAUGGUUAAUAUUCCAUUACUUCUGUGUAAUGCGAUGAGAGGACGGAGAAGGCUAAAUCAGCCUGGCGUUGGUUGUCCAGGUGAAAGGAUGUAGGCAUGUAUCUUAGGCAAAUCCGGGGUACUCUAUGCUGAGAUC
rnacentral:rRNA from 1 species